GACGAACGCUGGCGGCGUGCCUAAUACAUGCAAGUCGAGCGGACCAAAGGGAGCUUGCUCCUGGAGGUUAGCGGCGAACGGGUGAGUAACACGUGGGCAACCUGCCUGUAAGACUGGGAUAACAUCGAGAAAUCGGUGCUAAUACCGGAUAAUAAAAAGAACUGCAUGGUUCUUUUUUGAAAGAUGGUUUCGGCUAUCACUUACAGAUGGGCCCGCGGCGCAUUAGCUAGUUGGUGAGGUAACGGCUCACCAAGGCAACGAUGCGUAGCCGACCUGAGAGGGUGAUCGGCCACACUGGGACUGAGACACGGCCCAGACUCCUACGGGAGGCAGCAGUAGGGAAUCUUCCGCAAUGGACGAAAGUCUGACGGAGCAACGCCGCGUGAGUGAUGAAGGUUUUCGGAUCGUAAAACUCUGUUGUUAGGGAAGAACAAGUGCCGUUCGAAAGGGCGGCACCUUGACGGUACCUAACGAGAAAGCCACGGCUAACUACGUGCCAGCAGCCGCGGUAAAGUA
rnacentral:rRNA from 1 species